rnacentral:rRNA from 2 species
CUAUUAAUAACCCCUAAUACACCAAACACCAAAAACUAAACCAUUUUUCCCUCCAAGUAUGGGUGACAAAAAAGAAACGCUCUUUAAAGCUAUAGAAAAAGUACCGCAAGGGAACGCUGAAAAAGAAAUGAAACAAACAGUAAAGUUAAAAAAAGCAGAAAUUUAUCUUCGUACCUUUUGCAUCAUGAUUUAGUAAGUAAAAACCAAGCAAAAAGCAUUUUAGUUUGGCCCCCCGAAACUAAGUGAGCUACUCCAAGACAGCCUAAAACAUUAGGGCUAACCCUUCUCUGUGGCAAAAGAGUGGGAUGAGCUUAGAGUAGAGGUGAUAGACCUACCGAACUUAGUUAUAGCUGGUUGCUUGAGAAAUGAAUAGGAGUUCAGCUUUCUGGUUUCUCAUCUCCAAACUGCUUUAAUUACACCUGAAUUAAGAAACCAAAAAAGUUAAUUAAAGAGGGUACAGCCCCUUUAAACAAGAUACAACUUCAUCAGAUGGGUAAAGAUCAUAUUUUACUUAAGGGAAAAUGUUUUAGUGGGCCUGAAAGCAGCCAUCUAUAAGAAAGCGUUAAAGCUCCCUCAUAGUUUUAUCCAUUAAUCCCGAUAACCCUUCCUAAACCCACUAAUUUUAUCAAGCCACUCCAUGUCAACAUGGAUGAGAUUAUGCUAAUAUGAGUAAUAAGAAAAACUAGAUUUUCUCCAUGCACAAGUGUAACUCGAAACGGACCCCCCAUCUGAAACUUACUUCGGCCCCAAAUAAAAGAGGGUAAUGAACCACAACCUUAAUAACAAGAAAAACAACCAAAAACUAACCGUUAACCCCACACUGGUGUUCUCACCAGGAAAGACUAAAAGAAAAAGAAGGAACUCGGCAAAUACAAGCCUCGCCUGUUUACCAAAAACAUCGCCUCUUGCUAAUCAAGAAUAAGAGGUCC